rnacentral:misc_RNA from 1 species
AAGUCGUAACAAGGUUUCCGUAGGUGAACCUGCGGAAGGAUCAUUAACACGUUCCAAAACGUAUCAACCAAACGGUUAAGUGCAAACUUAUUCCCUCAUACAGGGAGCUGUUCAUCUGAAUCUAGUGAUGGGUAAGUCUUCGGGCUUACAGAAGCAGAUGAGCUAGGGUCUCGAGCCCAAAGUUCCUUAUGUGAGGCUUUCCUUUUUUUUUCCCAUCACUUCCAAUUCACCAUUUUCACCCCUUUAAACCAUUUGACUAAAUCUUUCGAACGAAGAAAUUUGUUUGGAAUUGUAUAUCUAACACUGUACAACUCUUAGCAAUGGAUAUCUUGGUUCUC